UUCUACUAGAGUCUUGCGCAGCUUCUCGAACCAAAACUUCCAGAACCCAAUAUUUACAACCUGUCUUCCGCCACCAUUGACAAGAACCUUAAAAAGCUUGCUUCCAAGUAACAAUAAGAGAAGGUUGAUUGGAAAAUACAUUUGAUUAUUUUUAUUAGAGAAUGGCGGGGACUAAGGAACAGAUAAUGGAUGUUCGGUCUGUGGUGGAAGCAGUAACAGCCGCCGGAGAUGAUGUUGAGAUUGAUACUCCUCUUUAUGUUGUUGAAAGCCUCUGUAUGCGCUGUGGUGAAAAUGGUACAACAAGGUUUCUCUUAACACUGAUUCCACAUUUUAGAAAGAUAUUAUUGUCAGCAUUUGACUGCCCACAUUGUAGUGAAAGAAAUAAUGAAGUGGAGUUCGCUGGUGAAAUUCAGCCUCGAGGAUGUUGCUAUGGCUUGCAUAUUCCAUCAGGUGAUCAAAAGAUGCUCGACCGAACGGUUGUCAAAUCUGAAAGUGCUACCAUCAAGAUCCCUGAACUGGAUUUUGAGAUCCCCCCCGAGGCUCAGCGUGGAUCAUUGUCAACGGUAGAAGGCAUACUGGUUCGAGCUGCUGACGGUUUGGGGGCCCUUCAAGAUGAACGGAAGAAAGUGGAUCCCCAGAUGGCUGAAGCAAUAGAUCGGUUCUUGAUAAAACUGAGAGCUUGUGCUUCAGGAGAUUCAUCCUUUACUUUCAUUCUUGAUGAUCCUGCUGGUAACAGCUUUAUUGAGAACCCGUUAGCUCCAUCUCCUGAUCCCUCAUUGAAAAUCACAUUCUAUGAGCGAACUCCUGAGCAACAGGCAGCUUUAGGGUAUCUUGCCGACCCAUCACAGCUUGGAGGACAAAGUGAUGAGGUAUCAAGUGAGGGUAUAAAUAAUGUUCCUCAUCACCUGCUAAAGGAACCACAUGGAUCAGUUGGAGCAAGAGCAGGACGUCAGGCUAUUGCUCAGGGUAACAGUGCAGAAAUAGCUGAAGCUCUAUUUCGAUAUUCAGCUCCUGAAGAGGUGAUGAUGUUUCCAUCAACUUGUGGAGCAUGCGCUGCGAGGUGUGACUGUAGAAUGUUUGUUACCAAUAUUCCAUACUUUCAAGAAGUAAUAGUUAUGGCAUCCUCUUGUGAUGCUUGUGGUUAUCGCAACUCUGAGCUGAAACCUGGUGGUCCUAUAUCUGAUAAGGGAAAGAAAAUUACCCUUCAUGUGGAAAACAUUGAAGACUUAAGCCGUGAUGUGAUUAAGUCUGAUAGUGCUGGAGUGGAAAUUCCUGAGCUUGAGUUAGAGCUUGCUAGUGGCACUUUGGGUGGAAUGGUGACGACAGUUGAGGGUUUAAUCACAAAAAUUAACGAAAGUCUUGAGAGAGUACAUGGAUUCACAUUUGGAGACAGUCUUGAUGAAGACAGGAAGAGCAAGUGGUUGGACUUCCGAGCAAGACUAGACAAGCUUUUGAGCUUGGGACAACCGUGGACAUUGAUCAUCGACGAUGCACUUUCAAAUUCUUUUGUUGCACCUGCAACCGAUGAUAUCAAGGAUGACAAACAGUUAACAUUUGAAGAUUACGUAAGAUCGUGGGAGCAAAAUGAGGAGCUGGGUCUUAAUGACAUGGACACCACCUCAGCUGAUGCUGCUUACAGUUCAGCAGAUGCUGCACCCAGUGAGAAAGCUGACGAUUGAUGAAUUUAUGCUUAGUGAUUUUCUUUCAUACUGCUUUGGCCUUAAAAUCUAAGGUAAGCGUUGAUUGUUCUUUCAUAUGACUGUAGAAGAGAUCUAGAACCAUAAAAGAUUGCCAACGCCUGCAGCCAUGUCUACAUAGUGGCCUUGUGACUAGAACUCCUUUAAAUAGAGAGACAAACAUUUUAAUUAGCUAUACGGGUUCCUUUAAUCAAACACUUCAGAGUUAUUAACAAUGCAAUUUGUUUUAGAAGAUAGUUUGCAAUGCAAUGAUUUUUGACUUGUAAAAAAUAUUAAUUUUAAUUAAUGUUAAAAAAAUGACUUUUGAUACUGGAA